GACGAACGCUGGCGGCGUGCUUACACAUGCAAGUCGAACGGAAAGGCCCUUCGGGGUACUCGAGUGGCGAACGGGUGAGUAACACGUGGGUGAUCUGCCCUGCACUUUGGGAUAAGCCUGGGAAACUGGGUCUAAUACCGAAUAUGAUCAUCGGCUUCAUGGUCGGUGGUGGAAAGCUUUUGCGGUGUGGGAUGGGCCCGCGGCCUAUCAGCUUGUUGGUGGGGUAAUGGCCUACCAAGGCGACGACGGGUAGCCGGCCUGAGAGGGUGACCGGCCACACUGGGACUGAGAUACGGCCCAGACUCCUACGGGAGGCAGCAGUGGGGAAUAUUGCACAAUGGGCGCAAGCCUGAUGCAGCGACGCCGCGUGAGGGAUGACGGCCUUCGGGUUGUAAACCUCUUUCAGCACAGACGAAGCGCAAGUGACGGUAUGUGCAGAAGAAGGACCGGCCAACUACGUG
rnacentral:rRNA from 1 species